rnacentral:rRNA from 1 species
GACAGAGGGUGCAAACGUUGCUCGGAAUUACUGGGCGUAAAGGGCGCGUAGGCGGUCAGACCAAGUCGAGUGUGAAAUUCCAGGGCUUAACUCUGGCACGCUCGCUCGAUACUGGUCGGCUAGAGUGUGGAAGAGGAUGCUGGAAUUCCCGGUGUAGCGGUGAAAUGCGUAGAUAUCGUUUGGAACGCCGAUGGUGAAAACAGGUUGCUGGGGCUGUGCUGACGCUGAGACACGAAAGCCAGGGGGAGCGAACGGGG